UUAUUAUAAUAAUACUUGUAACAAUAUAAUGUUGCCCAUAUGGCAAAUAAUUAUCUCGCAAUUAGUUGCUAUCGGGCAUCGAAGCAUUGAUCGCAUUACUAAUUAGAGCGUGGUCGACGUUACCGCACCAUGCACGUAUAUUAUUAAAUUCAUAACCCACAAGUGGUCUGCUGUUUGAAUUCCUCAAAUGUAUCAAAUAGACAUAUAUAUACAUACAUCUGUAUAGGCAUGGACACGAAUAAGUCUUCAAGAAAUUCCGACACUAAAUAGAUUUAUUUUCUCCAACACGAAACGUAAUUGGAUUGCGUGGGAGACUUACAACAUUAAUUCUUGUGUAUAUAUAUGAAGACAUGCGUUUACUAUAUUUUACAUGUACAUAUAUUUGCGCAAUAAACUUGACGCGAAUCCGCAACAGUUUGCCAAUGAAGGUGGAUUAUUGUUAUUAUAAUUACGGCUAUAUAUUACUCGACCCUUCAAGGCAGUCUACUGUGAAAAAUUUGGAGCGUUAAAUUGAAUUAAUUUUUAAGGUAUAUUUAAUUUAUUAAAUAUUUAGUGCAUCUAAAGUCAAGAGUAAAUAAAAUCAAUGACUGAAGAGUUAAGUAAGAUUGACGGUUUUAAAAAUUCAUCGAGCUGUUACAUCACGGAGGAGUAUUCUAGAGACGGAGAGAUCGGUCUGAGCGAAUCUAAGAGUGGAGCGGUCAUACAUGUAUGAUUAAAUAAAAAUAUGCACGAAUGAGAGAAAUUAAAUAAAGAUAAAGAGGACAACUCAUCAAGAGGCAACAGUCAAGCUGGCUCUUACUCUUGCCAUCCGCUGAUGCCAUCAAGCACAUAUUCUAUGUAUACGCCGGUAUGGAUUGUG